AAUGGGCGCAAGCCUGAUCUAGCCAUGCCGCGUGGGUGAUGAAGGCCCUAGGGUCGUAAAGCUCUUUCGCCAGGGAUGAUAAUGACAGUACCUGGUAAAGAAACCCCGGCUAACUCCGUGCCAGCAGCCGCGGUAAUACGGAGGGGGUUAGCGUUGUUCGGAAUUACUGGGCGUAAAGCGUACGUAGGCGGAUUAGAAAGUUGGGGGUGAAAUCCCAGGGCUCAACCCUGGAACUGCCUCCAAAACUACUAGUCUAGAGUUCGAGAGAGGUGAGUGGAACUCCGAGUGUAGAGGUGAAAUUCGUAGAUAUUCGGAAGAACACCAGUGGCGAAGGCGGCUCACUGGCUCGAUACUGACGCUGAGGUACGAAAGUGUGGGGAGCAAACAGGAUU
rnacentral:rRNA from 1 species